CCUACGGGAUGCAGCUGUGAGGAAUAUUGGUCAAUGGACGCAAGUCUGAACCAGCCAUGCCGCGUGCAGGAAGACGGCUCUAUGAGUUGUAAACUGCUUUUGUACGAGGGUAAACGCAGAUACGCGUAUCUGUCUGCAAGUAUCGUACGAAUAAGGAUCGGCUAACUCCGUGCCAGCAGCCGCGGUAAUACGGAGGAUUCAAGCGUUAUCCGGAUUUAUUGGGUUUAAAGGGUGCGUAGGCGGUCGGAUAAGUUAGAGGUGAAAUCCCGAGGCUCAACUUCGGAAUUGCCUCUGAUACUGUUCGGCUAGAGAGUAGUUGCGGUAGGCGGAAUGUAUGGUGUAGCGGUGAAAUGCUUAGAGAUCAUACAGAACACCGAUUGCGAAGGCAGCUUACCAAGCUACGUCUGACGUUGAGGCACGAAAGCGUGGGGAGCAAACAGGAUUAGAUACCCGGGUAGUC
rnacentral:rRNA from 1 species